rnacentral:rRNA from 1 species
ACGCUGGCGGCAUGCUUUACACAUGCAAGUCGGACGGCAGCACAGAGAAGCUUGCUUCUUGGGUGGCGAGUGGCGAACGGGUGAGUAAUAUAUCGGAACGUACCGAGUAAUGGGGGAUAACUAAUCGAAAGAUUAGCUAAUACCGCAUAUUCUCUGAGGAGGAAAGCAGGGGACCUUCGGGCCUUGCGUUAUUCGAGCGGCCGAUAUCUGAUUAGCUAGUUGGUGGGGUAAAGGCCUACCAAGGCGACGAUCAGUAGCGGGUCUGAGAGGAUGAUCCGCCACACUGGGACUGAGACACGGCCCAGACUCCUACGGGAGGCAGCAGUGGGGAAUUUUGGACAAUGGGCGCAAGCCUGAUCCAGCCAUGCCGCGUGUCUGAAGAAGGCCUUCGGGUUGUAAAGGACUUUUGUCAGGGAAGAAAAGGCUGUUGCUAAUACCGACAGCUGAUGACGGUACCUGAAGAAUAAGCACCGGCUAACUACGUGCCAGCAGCCGCGGUAAUACGUAGGGUGCGAGCGUUAAUCGGAAUUACUGGGCGUAAAGCGAGCGCAGACGGUUACUUAAGCAGGAUGUGAAAUCCCCGGGCUCAACCUGGGAACUGCGUUCUGAACUGGGUGACUAGAGUGUGUCAGAGGGAGGUAGAAUUCCACGUGUAGCAGUGAAAUGCGUAGAGAUGUGGAGGAAUACCGAUGGCGAAGGCAGCCUCCUGGGAUAACACUGACGUUCAUGCUCGAAAGCGUGGGUAGCAAACAGGAUUAGAUACCCUGGUAGUCCACGCCCUAAACGAUGUCAAUUAGCUGUUGGGCAACUUGAUUGCUUAGUAGCGUAGCUAACGCGUGAAAUUGACCGCCUGGGGAGUACGGUCGCAAGAUUAAAACUCAAAGGAAUUGACGGGGACCCGCACAAGCGG